rnacentral:SRP_RNA from 2 species
GCCGGGCAUGGUGGCGCAUGCCUGUAAUCCCAGCUACUCGGGAGGCUGAGGCAGGAGAAUCGCUUGAACCUGGGAGGUGGAGGUUGCAGUGAGCCAAAUUGCGCCAUUGCAGUCCAGCCUAGGUGACAGAGGAAGACUCUGCCUCAA